UACGAAGGGGGCUAGCGUUGCUCGGAAUCACUGGGCGUAAAGGGUGCGUAGGCGGCAGCGAUGAUCAGUAGGUGAAAUCCCGGAGCUCAACUUCGGAAUUGCCUCCGAUACUGCCGUGCUUGAGGACUGGAGAGGAGAUUGGAAUUCACAGUGGAGCAGUGAAAUGCGUAGAUAUCGGGAGGAACACCGGGUGGCGAAGGCGGCGACCUGGGUCGACACUGACGCUGGAGGCGCGAAAAGCGUGGGGGAGCAAACAGG
rnacentral:rRNA from 1 species